rnacentral:rRNA from 1 species
CAGCCGCCGCGGGAACACGUAGGGUGCAAGCGUUAAUCGGAAUUACUGGGCGUAAAGCGUGCGCAGGCGGUUAUAUAAGACAGAUGUGAAAUCCCCGGGCUCAACCUGGGAACUGCAUUUGUGACUGUAUAGCUAGAGUACGGCAGAGGGGGAUGGAAUUCCGCGUGUAGCAGUGAAAUGCGUAGAUAUGCGGAGGAACACCGAUGGCGAAGGCAAUCCCCUGGGCCUGUACUGACGCUCAUGCACGAAAGCGUGGGGAGCAAACAGGAUUAGAUACCCUGUAGUCCCUGUCUCUUAUACA